CCCGCCUUUCCCGGGCUAGCGGGCGGGCGGUUGUCCGAGCCUUGGCGUCUGUGCGUCCCAUCACGUAGGUUACGCACACACUUCGUCCGGGCUGCCGCCGGGAGCUCCCCCAGGCAGCAGUGCCUUCACAGACUCGGGCUCCCUGGAGGCUGCGCCGCGAUGGUUCGGGUCGCGGGUCUGAGGUGGAGCUGACUAAGGGCUGAGAAGACCCUGGGAGUCGCUACGGAGCACGAAGCUCUUCCCUGGCCGUCGGGCCCCGGGCUUCCCGCCCUCCCGCCGACUUCCAGCCGUCUGUGUCAAGCUAUUUUUCUGGAAGCCCUGAACUCCGUGCCCCUCAAGCCCUGGGCCCCCUGCGGGAAUGUUCAAAAAUGAGUACCAGGGAGGUGCAUUUGUUGAAAUCUUUAGUGCCCAGGGUAAAAAUCCUGGAGCAAAAUGGAAGAUCCUCGGCAGUCCAUCUGUGAUUUGGAAAGAAUUUGAUAAAGAAGUUAAAAGUUUUGUGUUUGUACUGGAAGGCAGCAGCCAAACAAAUAAAAUACAGUUACCAAAGGAGAAUAAGCAAAUCCUUGGACUGAUCCAGAGGUUUCUUGUACUUCAGAUUUACAUACCCCUGGGACAAGACUUCUCCACUGAAUUGCUCAUCUCCUCCUAGCUGGGCACAGUGGUGCUGCUUGCAUAUAGAAUCAUGGUGAACAUCUGUUUGUUGCUGCAAAAGAGAAACCUAGUCUCUGGCCUCUGAAGAGCAAAACAGACUCUGUAGCACAAAGGCACACAGAGGUGUUCAGCAGCUUAUGUCUCUUAGUUGUUGGAUUGCAACCUAACGGAAAAGCUGGUAUAAAUUCAACACAUGAAUGGACAACAGCUUUCUUGGGAGAAUGAAUGCAGAAACUGUAUACUGAAGAUGGCACAGUGGAAAAAUGGAGAAGGUACCUGGGUCUCUGAUGGCUUUAUUGAGCCACUAACCUUCCUUAAUUGCCUGUCCUUAGAUUUGAAAGGGUAAAUGAUCCUCAUUCUUAAGCCUUUAUUUUUCAAGGUUACUUAUAGUCUAACACAUUUCUAACUGAUACACUUCUCUUCCUAAGUUUUCUAAGUCAGAAUGAAAUUAUGCAUUGUUCUCUUAAUAAACUUAAUCUACUUGGGAAUUAUAGAAAUAACUUUUAUGUAUAUCUUCUUGUUAGUAUUAGUCACUCAGUCAUGU